UACGUAGGUGGCAAGCGUUGUCCGGAUUUAUUGGGCGUACAGGGCGCGCAGGCGGUUCGUUAGGUUCGAGGUGAAAUCUCUUGGCUCUACUGGGAGAGGUCUUCGGAUACCGGCGGACUUGAGGAGAGCAGAGGUGAGUGGAAUUCUGGGUGUAGUGGUGAAAUGCGUAGAUAUCCAGAGGAACACCAGUGGCGAAGGCGACUCACUGGGCUCCACCUGACGCUGAGGCGCGAAA
rnacentral:rRNA from 1 species